rnacentral:rRNA from 1 species
UACGUAGGGGGCAAGCGUUAUCCGGAUUUAUUGGGCGUAAAGAGCUCGUAGGCGGCCGAUCGCGUCGGAUGUGAAAGCUCGGGGCUCAACCCUGAGAGGCCAUUCGAUACGGAUCGGCUAGAGGUAGGUGGGGGAAGUGGCGAAUUCCUGGUGUAGCGGUGAAAUGCGCAGAUAUCAGGAAGAACACCGGUGGCGAAAGCGGCUCUCUGGGCCUUACCUGACGCUGAGGAGCGAAAGCGUGGGUAGCGAACAGG